rnacentral:rRNA from 1 species
AUAUCGGAAAAGGACGCACGUUUAUGAAAUGACUCAUUUGUCGAACGCUCAUAUAACGGCAUACUCGGUGAGCUAUGGAAAUUCUUAUUGCUAUUGUACCUUACCAAGCGGUAAAUAUUCACRUCCAUUAUCAUUUGCUCAAAUGAGAUGUGAAAUAGCCAUAAGCGAUUGCUCUAUAAUGCGAUUUCCAGCAUGUAUUGACUCUAAUACAUUAUGGCUUAAUGGUUGAAGAUUGCAUAGCUAAAUAUACGAGCGUCAAUAAUGACUAUAAUGAAUUUU